rnacentral:lncRNA from 1 species
CGGAGCCCGGCACUCGUGACCUCGCCAGCUCUCAGCUCCCUCGGGCGAUUUCGUGCACGCUAAUGUGCGCCUCUGUGUUUUCCUAAAUGCUGGUUUCUUCAUCAAGCGGCGGAAUAACGCAUCAGGGCAGGUGACCCACGUCACCGGGGUGAUGCACUGGUGCUCGCCGGGGCGGGCGCUGUGCCUGCGGGAGCCGCGCGGCCGGCGCGGUGUCGGGGCGCCUCGUGGGGGCCGAGCCGCGCCCGCACGUCCCUCAGGUGGAGACAAACAGGAACCUCUACCCUCCUCUGCCUGUUAGUACUGGAUGGUGUGAGCGAGGUCCCCCAGCUGCACCACAGCAGGGCAGGAGACAGCAGGGUGCCCGCCCAGAACAGUGGGAGCAGUGCUUCCUGUUGCAGCCCCCACCCAGCCAGGCACAGGCCCAGUGCCUCUGUGGGACUCCAUCCAGGACUUGUUGAAAUGGCCGAUGAUACAAAGGAGCCCCGACUUCACCCAUGGCCAGCUUCCCUCGCCAUCCUCCCUGCAGCCAAAGGACUCGCCCUCACCUGUUCUUUCUGAGACAAAUCAUCUGCCAGGUUUCCGCCUCGGGACACCCAAGCUCAGCACAGACAGCCUAGCAGCCUGGGUGACAGGAUCCCAGGGGACAGGAUUCUCUCCUUGCCAUGGGGAUGAGGACAAAUUCUCCCUUCAUCCUUGAGAUUGGACUCCCGCCACACAUCCUGGAGGAGCCUACAGAGAAGCCGGCAGGUCUCCCUCACCUGGAUGGUGCCAGCGGGUGGCCUGGACCACCCAGAGGCCCUCUCCUGCACCUGACAGGAAGCCCCUGGGGCAUACGUCUCCCCUGCCACUUCCACUGUGGCCACUGGAAGUGUGGCAGAGAAAAUAGCUAGGACAAAAAGAAGUCAAUGAUUUCAACCAACGGAAUUUCUUUGUCCUUUGUAAAAAUCAACACAUGAUCUGUUACUGAUUGGGAUGUGAAAUAAAACUAAAAAUAACAGCACACUGAGCCUGGCUCAGGGCUCAGCUCACCUUUACCACGGUCCAAGUUCAGUUUAUCAGAUCCCAAGGAGCAGCUAAGCAGCAAGUCAAACACAGGUGAGGGUGGAGGGCGGAGGGCGGAGCGGGGAGGGGGCUCUGGCCCUCUGCGUGCCCCCACCAACCCCCAGGUAGAGAACCAGCCAGCUCACCAGGGAGUGUGGCCAAGCAAGAAGCUAUACACAGAAUUCUGAGCCCACACCCUAAUCUGCCUCAGGUGGGGAGGCCACUCACUUCCCUUUUUGCCUCAGUUUCCCCACUGGGGUUACCAGGGUCUUCUGGCACAUUCCCUUGUUUUAAGGAACGGUGGAAGAGGGGUCCCCUUGAGAUCAGGUUAAGCUGUGAAACAUCCUGCCAGCGCCACAGGCCACUGGGUCCUGGAAGGUCAGGCCACAAAGACC